ncrna:unclassified sequences DTF2693-FD RNA
GUCCUAUUGGCAGCUAAAGACUGGCAACCGAUAGCGAGAAUCGGGUAGGGC